rnacentral:rRNA from 1 species
CCUACGGGAGGCAGCAGUGAGGAACAUUGGUCAAUGGACGAGAGUCUGAACCAGCCAAGUAGCGUGAAGGAUGACUGCCCUAGGGGUUGUAAACUUCUUUUAUAUGGGAAUAAAAUGUUCCACGUGUGGGAUUUUGUAUGUACCAUAUGAAUAAGGAUCGGCUAACUCCGUGCCAGCAGCCGCGGUAAUACGGAGGAUCCGAGCGUUAUCCGGAUUUAUUGGGUUUAAAGGGAGCGUAGGUGGAUUGUUAAGUCAGUUGUGAAAGUUUGCGGCUCAACCGUAAAAUUGCAGUUGAAACUGGCAGUCUUGAGUACAGUAGAGGUGGGCGGAAUUCGUGGUGUAGCGGUGAAAUGCUUAGAUAUCACGAAGAACUCCGAUUGCGAAGGCAGUUCACUGGACUGCAACUGACACUGAGGCUCGAAAGUGUGGGUAUCAAACAGGAUUAGAUACCCGUGUAGUC